rnacentral:rRNA from 1 species
GGGGGGUACGACGGCCAGUGAUUAGAGUUUGAUCAUGGCUCAGAUUGAACGCUGGCGGCGUGCUUAACACAUGCAAGUCGAACGCGAAAGUGGCUUCGGCCACGAGUAGAGUGGCGCACGGGUGAGUAACGCGUGGAUAAUCUGCCUCUGCAAUCGGAAUAACGACUGGAAACGGUCGCUAAUACCGGAUACGCUUAAGUUUUACCUCUUAAGGAAAGAUGACCUCUAUUUAUAAGUUAUCGUGCAGAGAUGAGUCCGCGUCCCAUUAGCUUGUUGGCGGGGUAACGGCCCACCAAGGCGACGAUGGGUAGCCGAUUUAAGAGGAUGAUCGGCCACAUUGGAGCUGAAACACGGUCCAAACUCCUACGGGAGGCAGCAGUGGGGAAUAUUGCGCAAUGGGCGAAAGCCUGACGCAGCGACGCCGCGUGAGGGAUGAAGGUCUUCGGAUCGUAAACCUCUGUCAGAAGGGAAAAAUGUACAGUGCUCCAAUCAACACUGUAUUGAUGGUACCUUCAGAGGAAGCACCGGCUAACUCCGUGCCAGCAGCCGCGGUAAUACGGAGGGUGCAAGCGUUAAUCGGAAUUACUGGGCGUAAAGCGCGCGUAGGUUGUUUUGUAAGUCAGAGGUGUAAUCCCACGGCUUAACCGUGGAACUGCCUUUGAUACUGCAUAACUUGGAUCCGGGAGAGGACAGCGGAAUUCCAGGUGUAGGAGUGAAAUCCGUAGAUAUCUGGAAGAACAUCAGUGGCGAAGGCGGCUGUCUGGACCGGUAUUGACGCUGAGGCGCGAAAGCGUGGGUAGCAAACAGGAUUAGAUACCCUGGUAGUCCACGCUGUAAACGAUGGAUGCUGGAUGUCGGGGCGCAAGCUUCGGUGUCGUAGUUAACGCGAUAAGCAUCCCGCCUGAGACUACGGUCGCAAGGCUGAAACUCAAAGAAAUUGACGGGGCCCGCACAAGCGGUGGAGUAUGUGGUUUAAUUCGAUGCAACGCGAAGACCCUUACCUGCGUUUGACAUCCACGGAAUUUCUGUGAAAGCAGAAGUGCCCGCAGGAGCCGUGAGACAGUGCUGCAUGCUGUCGUCAGCUCGUGUCGUGAGAUGUGGUAGUUCCGCACGAGCGCCACCCCUAUGCACAGUGCCAGCAGGUAAGCUGCACCUCUGUGCAAACCGCUUAGUUAACCGUAGAGUGAUGACUCAGUCAUCCAUGACCUUACCUCACAGGGCGAUUA